ACGUCUGCCCCGCCACUGAAUCGGAAGUUCUGGGCUGCAGUUGCGUGGAAAUGGGCACUGGUGGGCGGAGUGGGCUUCGGCCAGGCAAGGGGAACGCAGAAGGGGUGACAGCGGGAAAGGGGAAGGCGGAUGGGGUGGCAGUGACUCCUACUGCUGCCUCAGCCUCCUGCCAGUACAGGUGUAUCGAAUGCAACCAGGAGGCCAAGGAGUUGUACCGAGACUAUAACCACGGCGUGCUGAAGAUAACCAUCUGUAAAUCCUGCCAGAAACCUGUAGACAAAUACAUCGAGUAUGAUCCUGUUAUCAUCUUGAUUAAUGCUAUUUUAUGCAAAGCCCAGGCCUACAGGCAUAUUCUUUUCAAUACUAAAAUAAACAUGCAUGGAAAACUCUGCGUCUUCUGUUUGCUAUGUGAAGCUUACCUGAGAUGGUGGCAGCUUCAAGAUUCGAGCCGGAUCACUGAUCCUGAUGACUUUAUCAGAUAUGCCAAGGAAUGGGAUUUCUAUAGAAUGUUUGCAAUUGCUUCUCUAGAACAAACUGCCUAUUUUAGUGGCAUUUUUACUUUCCUGUGGGUAGAACGACCCCUAAGAGCGAAAAAAAAACUCAACUUCGUUUUGCUGCUGAAAGCAUUAUUAUUAUCCAGCUACGGAAAACUCCUGCUGAUUCCAGCUGUCAUUUGGGAACAUGAUUACACACCCCUGUGCCUCAGACUCAUUAAAGUAUUUGUCCUCACAUCAAACUUUCAGGCAAUUAGAGUGACCCUGAAUGUCAGCCGCAAGCUCUCCUUCUUGGCCAUCCUGAGUGGCUUACUGGUGGAGAGCACCAUGGUCUACUUCUUCCAGAGGAUGGAAUGGGCUGUCGGAAGCGACUGUGCCAUCUACAAGUCUCAAGACUUUUGAAGAGGUAGAGAGCAUCUCGGUGUUCAUGCACACGCGCAAGUGCCCUCAAAUUAGACAGAGGUCAGGGAAUUCCCUGGUGGCCUUGUGGUUUCAUUCUUUACCAUCUGUGGCAUGACCAGCUGCAUCCGUAAAACAGAAGACAUAAAAUAUAAACCACGCUUCUCAUUAUUGUUGUGUAAAAUGAAGCAAAGAUCUGGAUAUGCUUCCUGGGGAAAAAAAAGCAACGAUUAUGGUGCUGGGGACUCCUAACCCAUCACCCCAGCCCUACAUGUAGGAAACAGAGCAGGUACAGAUUUGCACACACAGACACUCAGACACAAGGAAUGUUGCCACAGGAAGGGACGUACACAGCAAGUGACGAGGUUGACCUUCUAGACUCUUCAGGUAAGCGUUCAGGCUGAAGGAACACGAACUCCUGAGUCACAGAUAAGAAGAUAAGAAGAGCUCUGUUUCAUUCCUUUGCCGUAUUUAUAUUUAUAUUUAAAUGUUAAUGGUUAAACUGAGCUUUUGUGAAUUUUCAAUUCAGUAUCUUCUCCUGUGACUAAGUUACUCUCUGAAAUCAGCUGAUCCAAAAAGAAAUAACUAAAAACAGCUGCCUUGUACACUUUACAGGAGUGAAGUAUAUCUCAGCAGAGCUGUUAUUAAAUAAAUAGUUGUGUCACCUGUC